CGGCGGCGUCCGGGGUCCCCCCGCGGCGGAGCGCGCACCCUGGCGCCCGCGCCCUGCGCUCGGCGGCGUCCCCUCCCUCGGCCGCGCCGCGCGCUGUCACCGCAGACCCGCCGCGAGCCGAGCGCGCCGGCCGCAGACGCCGGACCGCAACGUGAACGAAUGCGCUAGGCACACAGCGGAGUCAGAGAGCCUUCGCAACUGCCGUCUGCAAUUCCGAGUUCCAAACACGAGAGGAGCGUUCAUGAAGGCGCGCCCGUGAGUGGGUACCGGGUGCCGGGGAGUGGGGGUCGAAAUCCCUGCCGUUUCCACUCUACUCUCCAGCAGCCGCCGGAGCCAGCGCGCUGCAGGCACGUCUGUUUUCUAUUUCGCCUCCGCCGCCUUCUCUCAGGAGGCUGGUGGGGUUUGGGGACCCAAGGGAAUGCUGAGAUUUGGCGUCGUGGUUCUUCUAGAUGUUUUCUCUGGCAGGCCAGAAGACUCCCAAAAAGCACAUCAACAGAUGGAAAAGCAAACAUCUAAGCCGUCAGAUGCUGCCAAAGUUUACUCCAAACAAGGAAGUCGGGAAAAUCGCCACGCCCACUUCCUCCCAGCAUCUGUCCCCAUAACCAGCGCGGUGCCCCGACAGCAUUACCGUCCCUGGCCGGAAGGGACUGCACACCUACAGAACCACUAAAUGCAUUGCUUCAAGUGCAAAACCUUUCAGCAAGCCCUUUCAACGCAAGGCUCUUCCACCAAAUCAAGUGAAGCUGACUGCUAAUGUUACAUAAGCCAAGAAAGAAUUAGUUCAAAACUAAGAUAAAAAAGAAGCAUUGCUUUUGCUUGCUCUCUCAGAAAUGCUUCCUCAAAAAAGCCUGUCAGAGAGAAGAUGUCACCUCAUCAUUUCAUUAAUGCAUUUCAACCAUUCUCGGGCAGAAAGCCAUCUACCAUUUAGAAUUCUCCCAACAACCAGUGGUCUGAGAAUUGUAAAGCCAAGUUGCUCCAACAAGAGCAUUAUGAACACCCCUCAUGGACAUCUGGAGCUGUCUGACAACCACUCCCAGUUCUGGGAAGGGUACCCUCCCAUUCACGUGAUCACAGAAACAGCUGUAAGCAAUGAGUUCCUGAACUGCAACCCUGCUCCUCUGGCUGCUAACAGUAGGAUUUAGGUUUGGCUAAUGAGCAGCUUCACUGGGAAUAUGGAAUUGUGAGAGGUGAAGAGAAAGUUCCAUUAUAUUCCAGGCCUGUGUUCUAACCAGUAUAUGAGAAUCGGAUCUUCUCAAAUUCCAUUAGAUGUCCUAAUAUCCUAAAUUCUAAUUUACUAAAUUCUAAUUCUAAAUACUAAAUUCUAAUAUACUAAAUUCCCUUUCUGUGGGUAACCCAGCAUAAGGGAGUUUCUGUUGCUUGCAACCAAGAGUCCUAACUAAUCCACCAAGCAAGCUCCCUUCAAGAAGGAAAGGAGAGAAGGGAGAAAUUAACAGAGAAAGGGAGGAAUUAAACCAAAAAUUUUUAGUGCCACCUACGACUACUACUACACCCUUUUCCAUUUCAUUUUACUUCUGCCUUACUGUUUCCCUAGAACCCACUCUUUGUUUCUAAUAUUCAUUGGGCCCAGGGAUGGCAAAGACAAUCUAACUAAAAAGAGAAGAUAAAAAAGCAAAAUGCCUACACACCUGGGGGCUCAAGAGUACCCCAGAAAGGGACAUGGAAGGCCCAGAUGGAGAUUACUGAAUUCUAUUUGCACAAAAAAGCAAUUUUUUCUUUGUGAUAUAAUUGGCAUCCUGACCAUUUUUUUGACUUUUUUCUAAGUUUACAUAUUAGUGCAUCAGUGAAAGGAAUUGUUCUUCAGUGUCUCAAAAAAUUCAUGUCUCAAUAUUUAUUGUUUGAGUGACUCUCUGCCCAAUGUUCUUCUCAUAACAUUACAUGGAAAGUAAAAGUAAAUUAGAUUUCUUUUUUGCACUAAGAAUAUGGAGAAAAUUUUACAGUAGCCUUUGCAAUUAGAUUUUGAAAAAUUGGGACAGCCUCUGGGGUACAGAGAAACCAAUGUAACUGCUUUGAAUUUCUUUUUCAUAAUCCAGAAUAUCAAAGCCUGGAUUGUCCUUCCCCCUUAGCCCACCUGGUUUGCCUCAAGAACCCCUCCUUAUCCUUCAAGUCUUCACUGAUGCCCCAGGUCCUCCAGAAAGCAUUUCCUGCCUGACCUUCCUAGUGAAGAGGGAGAAGAUGGACAGGGGUGAUCACUUGACCCUCCAUUGGACCCUGUUUUCCAUCUCCAUCAUAGAACCUUCCAAGCCCAGGCCUGCCUUUACCACUCUCUUUCCAGCUGCUCCCACAGGAGGAGAAUUUCUUAUCUGCCUAGUCAGAGUUCCAAGACAUUCCUUGGGUCAAACUCACUAGGUCAAGGGUCUCUGCUGGGCACAGCACAUACGACACCUCCAUGAGGAUUAGAAAAGGAUGCCCUUCCCUCCCCUUAAGCCCUCAUAGUCAGGCAUUUCUGGGUCCCUACCCAUCAUACUUCCAUAAUAUCAUUGAACUCUCACUCUUAAACUCCAAUAGUCCCUAUCUCUACAAAUACUUCUCCCAUUCUCUCUACUGUCCAAAUAUAGAACCUGGGAGUCAUUACCAUCUCCUCCAUCUUUCUCAUCUAAACAGUCACCAAGUUGUGGCAGAACAACUAUCUAGAUAUGCCUACUCCUUCCCAUGCCCUCUGCCCUCACCUCCCUUAGUCAGGCUACCAUUAGCUCUCACGUGGACCAUCACAACAGCCACCUAACUCCCCAACCUGUUUGCAUUCUUCACUCCAGCCCAUUCUCUGCUCUGCAGCCAACGUGAUCUUUUUAAAUAAAAAUUUUGUCAUACCCUUUCUCUGCUUAAAGCCCUUCAGUGGUCUCCUUCACUCAAGAACUCUUAAGAUAAAGUAAAAACUCCUCAACUUGGUUCAUAAUGCCCUACAGGAUCUUGGUCCAAGGAAGCAUAGAAGAUUCUUGGAGAGAUUAGAGUCAGAGCAUGAAGGGCUGUUGGGGAUUAAAUCAUGUUCCCCACAAAAGACAUGUUCAAGUCUUAAUCCACAUUCCUAUGUGUGUGAACACAUUUGUAAAUAGGCUCUUUGAAGAUGUACUAACAGGAUCUUCAAGGGAUCUUCAAAGAUCUUAUUUAGGUGUGGCCAAACUGAAUCAGAUGGGCCUUAAUUCAUUUGUCUGAAGAUCUUCUAAAGAGGAAAUUCAGAUGCAGUCGGAGAAGCCAGAAACCAGGUAGAAGCAAGAAGACAAAGAAAGCCACAAGAGGAGACCAAGGACACUGCCAUGUGAUAGAGGCAGAGAUGCAGUCAAGGAGCCCCAAGAAUUGCAGCAAGCGAUCACCAGAACGUUAUAGACUCUGACAG